UAGCGUUUGCCAAAGUGUAAACGCUAUGUUUGGUUGGUCAAAUUUUAGUUUUGAAAAUGCAUUUUAGAAAUGUAGAAUAUAUAACAUUUGUAUAUUUUGAAACGCUAUGCAUUGUUGAUGCGGAAAAAAAUAUUUUUUUUGCCCUCUAAAUACUUAGCAAAAAAGAAGCGGCUAACAAAUUUUCAUUCUCCCUCUCAUUCCAUUGUUUCAUUUCUCAAGAUUUUUUCUCACUAUUUGUUCAUCUCUCGAUACUCAUCGAAGAAAUUCCUUGCCCUUUCGUCACCAAUUCGCCGAACUCAAAACCAUAUAUGCUUCUCCUCUGACGAAAUUUUUAAUCCAGAUGCAAAACCAGAUUAGUCAUCUUCCUCUUCUCCACCCAAAAAAACCCUAGUUACAAGCCCUCUUUAGUAAAUACAGAAAAAACGAGGACAAAUAAAUUCUCAAAUCAUGUCGUUGCUCUCCCUUUCACUCUCCAUUGCAAAAUCAAACCUUAGCCACUGUCAAAGCAAGCGAGACAUGGGCUCACUCAAGACAAAACUUCAUCUCUCUUGCUUCGCCCUCUCAUCUUUGUGAGAGAAAGGGAAAGUCUCUGUAAUUAUUUUUCUCAUCCAUCAAUUCUCUUUGGUAAGACUCGUUUCUCUCAGAUCUGUGACGCUUCAUAAUCAUUGUUUUUCUUGUUUCUUCAAUUUGUUUUCAGUUUCUUAGAUCUCAAAGCAUAUUCACAGUGGAAGGAAGAGGCGGCGGAGAUGGUAGUGACGUGGUUCAACUGUUGCUUAUGGUACAAAGUGAGUGUACGAAGAGAGCGAUGAAGAAAGCACAUACGUUAAUCUAAUCUAGAUUAAUCUUGAACUCUCAGACGCUGUUCAGCGAUGGUGGCUGUGGAGCCGAUUUCACUAUUGAGUGGAGGUCCUUAGCAUGCAGACUUAAAUUUGAGACUGAUAUGCAAUCUGGAGCAAGAUACAAGUACGAGGUUCACACAUGGAAUUCGUAUUUUUGGGGAGAUGACCUGAAUGUGUUGUUGGACCAACCAAAGAGGUUUGAUUUUUCUAUAAACAGUAGGAUUAACAUUGAAGUGUUAGUUUGUUGCAGGUUGAAGCUGAAUAUUGUUGGUGUCGGAUCCCGCACCAGAGGUUCGGGACCAACCAAAGAUUGCCACGUAGUUGGGUUAACGGCCCAUAAGGGAUAAAACCCGUUAGACCCGCAAGUCAAAGGAACAUUCGAAGUGGUUAUCACUAUAAGAAGAAUCCGAAGUGACUGCACCUCGACACAAUUCCGGAGACGAAGUCACGGUUAAGUUGGUCCAAGGACAUUUGGGCCAAAAGGCGAGGCCCAUGAAGAUCGGAGUCAACACAAAUUCGAAUGUUGAGCAUUAAAGUCAAAGACCAAAACGGUCACAUUUAAGAGAGAAUAAUUGUACUUAAUUAGCCAAUUAAAUGUCAUUUUUCUAUGUAUAAAUAUAAAGGUCAAUGGCCAUAUAAAGGGGAUUUUCUUCUCAAGUAAGAAAUACUAUAGCAAUUUUUGUAGCAAUUCAUAAGCUUUUUGCAUA